UUUCACAGGUUGUGUUAAACAUAUCUUCUAAUUGAAAACACAAUGAAAUCUUUGUUCUGGACAGCACUCAUGUAUGUGUGUCUUGCACUUCUCACCAUGAAGCAUUUUGUCGUAACUCAACGUGCAGUCAGACCCAACGAUGUCACUGUCACCAGCGACGAUGAGCCUAGCGAGAGGGAUGGGAAUGAAUACAUCGGAGUUGUUCAAACAACGGAGAAUCAAAAUAGUGGGUACUGGGGGCGAAAGAAAAGAUCUUUUAAAUCGGAUGGGGAUGACAUGAUGACAUGAUGAAUAAAAAAACUGCAGCAGCUUUUGACAUAUAUUGAAAUAUUUUGCUUGUGCUCAAAAACACUACAAAUGUGAUUGUUUGUACGUCUUUGCUUAUAUUUAUUUUUUCAUUCAACAAUUAAGUUUAUUGCGAGGAAAACAUUUCGACAUUCUUAUGUUUACUACAUGAAGGGAAUCUCCACAACUAUGUGAAAAACAUCACAUUUUGGCAUUGAAAUAUGAUAAUGACUCUAAAAUCUUCAAACUCUUUAUUAUUUACUCGAACGCUGGUAGAUGAAUUUCCUGUCACUUCCUAUCAGAAGAUAGUAAAUAUCUGGAAGAAUCCUUAUUUCGACGACAGUACAACAAGAGAGUGCAAUAAACUUUAAUUUCACAGAAAGGACAAUUUCCAGUUAUUUAAAAUUAUCGUUUCAUUUUUAAAAUAACGAGAAUACCAUAAAAGAGAUCCGAAAUUUUUAGAUUCGUUAAAUUAGUAUCUGCAGUUGUAUACCGCUAUUUCCUUAUAUUUUUCCUUUCAAGAAAUAAAGGCAUUAUUACGGUAAAA